rnacentral:rRNA from 1 species
AUUGAACGCUGGCGGCAGGCCUAACACAUGCAAGUCGAGCGAGCGGCGGACGGGUGAGUAAUGUCUGGGAAACUGCCUGAUGGAGGGGGAUAACUACUGGAAACGGUAGCUAAUACCGCAUACCAUCAGAUGUGCCCAGAUGGGAAUAGCUAGUAGGUGGGGUAACGGCUCACCUAGGCGACGAUCCCUAGCUGGUCUGAGAGGUUGACCAGCCACACUGGAACUGAGACACGGUCCAGACUCCUACGCGAGGCAGCAGUGGGGAAGAUUGCACAAUGGGCGCAAGCCUGAAUCAGCCAUGCCGCGUGUGUGAAGAAGGCCUUCGGGUUGUAAAGCACGUUCAGCGGGGAGGCGUUACCCGCAGAAGAAGCACCGGCUAACUCCGUGCCAGCAGCCGCGGUAAUUC